GUGGUGCAUGGUUGUCGUCAGCUCGUGUCGUGAGAUGUUGGGUUAAGUCCCGCAACGAGCGCAACCCUUAUUGUUAGUUGCCAUCAUUCAGUUGGGCACUCUARCRAGACUGCCGGUCACAAACCGGAGGAAGGUGGGGAUGACGUCAAAUCAUCAUGCCCCUUAUGACCUGGGCUACACACGUGCUACAAUGGAAGGUACAACGAGUYGCGAAACUGUGAGGYUWAGCUAAUCUCUUAAARCCCUUCUCAGUUCGGAUUGYAGGCUGCAACUCGCCUGCAUGAAGYCGGAAUCGCUAGUAAUCGCGGAUCAGCACGCCGCGGUGAAUACGUUCCCGGGUCUG
rnacentral:rRNA from 1 species